rnacentral:lncRNA from 1 species
CUCGCUCCACGGCGUUUAGUACUCAUCGGCAACGGGUGCAUCGAUAUGUUCGUGGUGCAACACGCAGACUGCCAACCGCCGCAUCCCCAACGGUAGCAUUGCUGAGGAGCUCCGGUGCAAGUGCAGACCGGUACAGGUAAACCGGAAAUGUCCAUGUUCACUCCGUUGAUAAUCAAGUCAACGCUUUUCUUAGCCGGUUUGACUCUUGAAACGUUAGUCUUGCUGUCGUUCUCUUCUUUCGGUUUACGAGGCUUCUUCCCCUUUGCUGUUGCGCUAGCUUUUGAGUUAGUCUUUCUCUUCUUGUUAGGCUGAACAAUCUCUUCUUCUUCUUCGCAUUUAACCGGGUUAUCCUCGGUUUGAUGAUGGUGAUGGUGAUGCAUGGACGGGGCUGAUGAAGUUUCGGGGAGAACGUUUCCGUAGUUAGGAGAGGUUGUUACAGGCAACAUGUUGAAGAACUUGUCCUUCUGUUGGUUAAUCCAGUUGUAGCUCAUGUGGAUUGGUGGCUCAGCGUGGUGGUAUGACCCGUUUUGGCCAAUCAUUAGAUUUGGAUCUCGACCGGGUAGAAACGGUUUAGUGUUCCGGUCAGCGCUUGACAUUAGCUGCAAACCGAGGUUGCCUUUGAACGUAGCAGCAGCUGGUUCGUAGUAACCCCAAUUGCGAAACCCAUCGUCAUCCAUUUUCAAAGAUCUACAAAACAUGUCAAUAUAAAAAAAAGACAAUCAGAGAUUCAAAUCCAAAUUCAGACAAAACAAAAGCCAGUUCAUGUUCCAAUUAGCCAAAAUCAAAUCAUCCUACCAUUUAUUAUAUCCAAUGUUCCAGAGAUAACACAUCAGAUGUUAAAGAUAGCAAGAAAACAAAAAUUAGAGUGGAUAUAUACAUGAAAUCCAGGGAACUUUUAUAUGAUAUUCCGACAUAAGAACAUUUUCUUGUCGGAACCAACAUGCACAGCUUCUAGAUCUGGGGAGUCCAGAGCUAGAUCUACGGAAAAUGGACAUGAAUCAAGGAGAUCCACAGCCAAAAUCUAAUGAAACAUCAAGAUAUGUACAUAUAUUGGACGGAGAUAAAAGGAUUUGAAGCAAAAGCGUUGUUGGUACAGUACAGGAAAAAAAGGUCCCAUUGUAAAUAUUCAAAACUGAGAGAAAGAGAGAGAGAGGCAUGAUAUGGAAAUGGAUUAGGAAAGAGAAAACUUACAUAUGAGAUUGGGUUAACAAACGGCUCUUUAAGGGAAUUUUUGCCCUUCUGGAGAGAGAGGAGAGAGAGAGAUUGGAGGGAGGGAGGAAAGAGAAGGAAGAGAGAGGAGAGAGAAACCUGAAGGGAAAGAUAAGAUCUGAAGAAAGGGAAAGGGUUUUUAUUUUUAUUUUUUUUGAGUGGAACAGAGAGAGAACCCUAAAAUAAUUGAAAAUCAUUUUCUAAUUUUAAAAUAUACACAAUCUAAAAUAAAUAUCUUUCCAAAAGGCUUUUUUCAUUUUUCUCUCCGCGUUGUACUUGAAAUGAAGACUUUCUUUUUAUGUUUGGUCACUGUAAGAAAGCCAUUUGAGAAGAAGACAAAACAAAAAAAAUAACAAAGCCCACUUAUUGGUCUUUUUGACAUCGUGUCAAAACCAAAUUUUUUAAAAGGCAACGAGAUCGUUCGUGAAAAGAUGAGACGAGGAACAUGAGAUUAUGAAGAAAAAAUACUAAUUCUUCAUAAAACUUUCUAUUGGUAAUUUUUUUUUUCUGUAAUAACAAAUUCUGUGUUUAGCAAACCGAACGUUUUGGGAAUGUUAAGACACAAGUGUAUCCAAUGUGAAGCUCAUAUUUUAUACAUAUAUUGCAUUGCUCAUAGUCAGAGCUUGUCCCUCGCAAAUCAUAAUAAUUCCAUUCCUGUGCGUUCUCUGAACCAGAACUUCGCUGAUUCCCCCAAAGUUAUCAAAUAGAUUUAAACAGAUGCAAAUAUUGCACAACGAUCAUGACUACCUUGAAUAAGAGAUUUGACAUUUAUUACAUACAAAAAAAAAGUCCGAAGGUAUGAUCAUCUUUUACAAUCCAUAAAAUAUAUAGAAAAGGAUACACGUAAGUAAUUUUAAUUUCCGUAGCCCAAAAUAACGAGAAGAAGAGAGAGACAGAGAAGAGAUGCUUUUUCAGGAAAUAAUCAGGCAUUAACAUUGUCAAUAUAUCUCUCUUCUUUCUAACAACCCAUCUCUUUAUCUUUUCUUUGUUCUAGCAAAAAUUCUUAAGGAGGCAGAAGAAGAAGAGAACCAUCGUAAGAAGAUAAAGACUUCUUACUCGCAUUUGAUAGACCGGUAAAUGUGACGAACGAAGAAAAGUGCAGCGCGGAAGCCGACAGUCCCGAGCAUUAAGAAGAACCCGUAGCAAAUGCAAGCCAUGUACCCGAAGAAGAACGAUGUUUGCAUGAAUCCAGACAUGUCUGAUCGUGCGUAGUAGUAGUAUAAGCAGUAGGCGUAGAUAAACAAACCGGUCGACCCACCGCAUAGGAAUGAUCUGCAAAUAAAAACAGUCUCAGGUUCUAUUGUUCAGAGAGAGAAGAAGGUAAAGACAAUGGGAAAUGGCUUAACGAACCUCCACCACCAUUGGUGAUCUUCAGCAGCGAGCUGGAAGUAAGUCAAGGCGACGGUUAUAAAAGCAGUGACAAUGAUGAGGAUGAUGAAGACAAUGAACAGGAUGCUGUAGAUGGUGUAGAUCCGGUGACCCCAGACACUAGCGAAAAUGUAGUAAAGCUCGAUGUAGAUGGCACUGAAAGGAAGAAAACCAGCCAUGGCCAUCUGAGGAACCGCGCUUCUGUACCAAGGGAGCGGCGGAAUCUCGCGGGGGUACUUGGUCGUGCGGCAGGGCGCUUGGAACUCAGCUUUGCAUGAUCAUCUUUUACAAUCCAUAAAAUAUAUAGAAAAGGAUACACGUAAGUAAUUUUAAUUUCCGUAGCCCAAAAUAACGAGAAGAAGAGAGAGACAGAGAAGAGAUGCUUUUUCAGGAAAUAAUCAGGCAUUAACAUUGUCAUUUUAUCUCUCUUCUUUCUAACAACCCAUCUCUUUAUCUUUUCUUUGUUCUAGCAAAAAUUCUUAAGGAGGCAGAAGAAGAAGAGAACCAUCGUAAGAAGAUAAAGACUUCUUACUCGCAUUUGAUAGACCGGUAAAUGUGACGAACGAAGAAAAGUGCAGCGCGGAAGCCGACAGUCCCGAGCAUUAAGAAGAACCCGUAGCAAAUGCAAGCCAUGUACCCGAAGAAGAACGAUGUUUGCAUGAAUCCAGACAUGUCUGAUCGUGCGUAGUAGUAGUAUAAGCAGUAGGCGUAGAUAAACAAACCGGUCGACCCACCGCAUAGGAAUGAUCUGCAAAUAAAAACAGUCUCAGGUUCUAUUGUUCAGAGAGAGAAGAAGGUAAAGACAAUGGGAAAUGGCUUAACGAACCUCCACCACCAUUGGUGAUCUUCAGCAGCGAGCUGGAAGUAAGUCAAGGCGACGGUUAUAAAAGCAGUGACAAUGAUGAGGAUGAUGAAGACAAUGAACAGGAUGCUGUAGAUGGUGUAGAUCCGGUGACCCCAGACACUAGCGAAAAUGUAGUAAAGCUCGAUGUAGAUGGCACUGAAAGGAAGAAAACCAGCCAUGGCCAUCUGAGGAACCGCGCUUCUGUACCAAGGGAGCGGCGGAAUCUCGCGGGGGUACUUGGUCGUGCGGCAGGGCGCUUGGAACUCAGCUUUGCUGUUUUUACCGGCGAUGCCACCUAAGACGAGUAGAGGCGAUGUGACUAGAGUCCAUAUAAGGACGAUCACGACAAUGGUUCCAAAGGGUAGUGCUGCGGUUGCAGUGUAGGUGAUGGCUACGGUGUUGAGGAAGCAGAAGGUUAGGAGUAAAGGACCGUGGGUGCUGUUUUUUAUGCUAAGGUAAAAGACUUCUUUUAUCUUCUAAAAAGUUGUCGUCAGCAUCAUCGUUCUCUGGUCUGGUGGUGUUAUUUUUAGUUAGAACAACAUGUAUACUGUGUCUUUCAGGCCGAAAUGGGGUGUACUGAGACCGAGUUGGGGGAUGAUGGUAGCGCUUGGAUAACAAAGUCUCAUAAUUUUCUGUUUCAAGUAAAGCGUUGUCCUUGGUAUCUUGUAAGUUACAUUCUCAAAUACCUUCAUUUUUUUUUUUGCUAUGUCUUGCCUGCCCCUCAUGACUUGAAGCCUACCUCUUUCUCUCGCUCGCUCAAUCAACUAUUUAGGAAGACAGUACUGGUGUGGUGAAAGUAGUGGGAGCUGAAGCUGCUGAUGACUUUCUUGAUACUCUGACACCGCAUUUGGAUAUGUCACUAAGUGAAAUCUUUGGUAGUAUUGUAGAACCUAAACAAGGCUCUCAGGUUACCUUUUCUCUUUCAUUUUUUUUUUGUCUUUCUCUGUUUAUUUUAGUCUUUUUCAUUGGGUUGGAACCAACAGUGUGAUUGUUUUCAUCUCUAGACGAUUUUUCGGGCUUCUCUCGAUACUGGUACCUCCUUAACUAUUAUUGGCGAGGUAAAGGAAGCCCCCAUGUGUUUAUUCUUUAUAUUGUGGAUCAUGUAAGAGUGGCUGUGCAAGCUAAUAUAAGUUGAUGUGUCUGUGUCCUUGUCUGUACUGUAGGCUGCUAGAGACGAAGCUGGUAAUCUCACGAUUCAAAACACCAAUGAACAGCCUUUUAGGAUCUUCAGUGGAGAGGGCUCGUUUGAUAAAAUGGUUGCCAACUUGAAGUCAAAUUCAGAGUAAGGACAGAGACUCAUCAUGUUUUUGUUUAUACAUGGUGAUGAUAAUCAAAUUUUCUUGUGUUAUUUUUUAUGCAGGUUUUAUUUUUUCUAUUCCAAGAUCUUUGGAACUAUUGCUUUUGCUAUAGUUGUUUUUAAAGGCGUGAGUUUCAUACGAAGGGUUUUACGUGAGAGAGCAGAUAAUGCUGAUUCAGACGACGAAGAAACGCCAUGAGGGAGUAGAAUCAGACAACAGUAGUUUAUAGGAUCAGCUUUAAAGGCUCAGGCAGAAGAAUCAGACACCAAUGAUUUAUAACUAGGAUAGAUUUUUUAUCUAUGGUAUUGGGUAGGCAAAAUGUUUAUGAAUAUUUUAACAAACCAUCGUUUCUUAUUCUGACAGAUGAACAAAUUUAAAAAAAAAUUAUAUUGUCCAAAUUAACUAUGUGAUUCUAUUACAUAGUUGAACACACGUUGAUUUAUUCUAUUUAUAGCUUUACAAAACUUGUUAAAAGGAUAUAAUUUAAUUUAAAUAAGAACAUUAUUUCAAUGUAAUAAAAGCAGACAUUUUCCCUUUGUUUGGAUCAAAUUAAUGUAAACAGCCAUUAAAUUAGUCAAUGAACAUAAAUUCACCAACUCGGACAUAUAAUGUACGAAAUAAAAACAUUUAAUUAAAAAGAAUAUCUGUUACAACUUACAAGUCAGUAAAAUGUUUAUAAAAAUAACAAAAGAAAGAGAAAAAAAAAAUACAAAAGUAAAAAAAAUUCAAACUUCCCUUGCAGAUUUUCUUCCUCAGACAUACAAACAAACAAACAGAACAUAAAAAGCAACCGUAUGAUAAAACAACUCUUAAACUCAGAUGGGGUUACCUGAAACUAAUCAUCUGAUGGUGACGAACUUGUUAGUCCCAUGUCUAGCCCAAUGGCUCUUAAGAUCAAUGGGGCUCCCAAAGUUAAACCCAUCAGAAGAAAGUUUCUCAAGAACCUUCUUAAACGCUCCUUGACUCAUCUUCCUCCCGGAGAUCCUCGCUCCACGGCGUUUAGUACUCAUCGGCAACGGGUGCAUCGAUAUGUUCGUGGUGCAACACGCAGACUGCCAACCGCCGCAUCCCCAACGGUAGCAUUGCUGAGGAGCUCCGGUGCAAGUGCAGACCGGUACAGGUAAACCGGAAAUGUCCAUGUUCACUCCGUUGAUAAUCAAGUCAACGCUUUUCUUAGCCGGUUUGACUCUUGAAACGUUAGUCUUGCUGUCGUUCUCUUCUUUCGGUUUACGAGGCUUCUUCCCCUUUGCUGUUGCGCUAGCUUUUGA